rnacentral:rRNA from 1 species
GAUGAACGCUAGCGGCAGGCCUAAUACAUGCAAGUCGAGGGGUAACUAGAGUGAUAGCAAUAUUACUUUGGCUAGACCGGCGCACGGGUGCGUAACACGUAUGCAACCUACCUUAUACUGGGGAAUAACUUCGAGAAAUCGGCGCUAAUACCCCAUAACAUUGCGAAGAGGCAUCUCUUUGCAAUUAAAGCUCCGGCGGUAUAAGAUGGGCAUGCGUCCAAUUAGCUAGUUGGUGAGGUAACGGCUCACCAAGGCUACGAUUGGUAGGGGUUCUGAGAGGAUGAUCCCCCACACUGGUACUGAGACACGGACCAGACUCCUACGGGAGGCAGCAGUGAGGAAUAUUGCGCAAUGGACGAAGUCUGACGCAGCCAUGCCGCGUGCAGGAUGACGGCCCUAUGGGUUGUAAACUGCUUUUGUACGGGAAUAAACCCUUCUACGUGUAGGAGGCUGAAGGUACCGUAAGAAUAAGCACCGGCUAACUCCGUGCCAGCCGCCGCAGUAA